GAUGAACGCUGGCGGCGUGCCUAAUACAUGCAAGUCGAGCGAAUGGAUUAAGAGCUUGCUCUUAUGAAGUCAGCGGCGGACGGGUGAGUAACACGUGAGUAACCUGCCCAUAAGACUGGGAUAACUCCGGGAAACCGGGGCUAAUACCGGAUAAUAUUUUGAACUGCAUGGUUCAAAAUUGAAAGGCGGCUUCGGCUGUCACUUAUGGAUGGACCCGCGUCGCAUUAGCUAGUUGGUGAGGUAACGGCUCACCAAGGCAACGAUGCGUAGCCGACCUGAGAGGGUGAUCGGCCACACUGGGACUGAGACACGGCCCAGACUCCUACGGGAGGCAGCAGUAGGGAAUCUUCCGCAAUGGACGAAAGUCUGACGGAGCAACGCCGCGUGAGUGAUGAAGGCUUUCGGGUCGUAAAACUCUGUUGUUAGGGAAGAACAAGUGCUAGUUGAAUAAGCUGGCACCUUGACGGUACCUAACCAGAAAGCCACGGCUAACUACGUGCCAGCCGCCGCUGUAA
rnacentral:rRNA from 1 species